UUGCAUUUGCACAUAAAAAAACUAUAUAUAUAUAAAAUGUAAAAUUGAGUAUAGUUGUAUAGCUAAUAUAACAAUAGAAAAUUGGCUUUCUGAAAGAUGAACAUUAAAAUCUGUGUACACCUAUUUUGUAUGAAAAUUUAAAACAAGAGGCUGUCACAACGACAGCAAACCGGAUUUAUUAACAUUUAUUUGUGUCCUGGCAAUAUCACAAGAACCAUUACUGAUGAAUGGUGAAAGUGAAAAUCGUCAAUAUCAAAUUUGACCUCCAUUUUGUCAUCAGUAUCAACAUAUUAAAAUUUGAAAAGCUUAGAUUGAAUGGUUCAUGAGUAAAUGCAACAACGUGAAUGGAAACGCCAUUUUACGAUCUUUCAAGAACCAUAACUCCUGAACGGUAAAAGUCAAAAUCGUCAUUAUAGAACUUGAACUCUAUUUUGUCAUCAGUAACAACAUAUUAAAAUUUCAAAAGCUUUGGUUGAAUGGUUCAUGAGAAAAUGCACGGACACGACGGGAAACACCAUUUUUCAAUCUUUCAAGAACCAUAACUCCUGAACGGUAAAAGUCAAAAUCGUCAUUAUUAAACUUGACCUCCAUUUUGUCACCAGUAACAGCAUAUUAAAAUUUCGGAAGCUUUGAUAGAACAGUUCAUGCAUAAAUGCACGGACACGACUCGAAACUCCAUUUUCAAUCUUUCAAGAACCAUAACUCCUGAACGGUAAAAGUCAAAAUCGUCAUUAUUAAACUUGACCUCCAUUCUGUCAUCAGUAACAAC
rnacentral:lncRNA from 1 species